rnacentral:lncRNA from 10 species
UUUGCAAAUCUCAGUCCUUUUCAGGCAUAAUGCAACAUUAUAAAAUUACCUCAAGAGCCGUGGGUCUGGACCUAGCCAAAAUAAGUUCUCUUCAAACAAGCGACUGCAGAAAUAUGUUGAUCUUUGGAACUCACAGUUGGCAGCUGGUGUGAAUUCUUCUCAGGGAAGAAGAAACUAGCAAGUUUAAGGCAACAGGGCUUUGGGCAGGUUGGAGUGGGGCAGUAGUCUGCAUAAGCAGAUUUCAACUUUAGGUAAUGAUUCUGGUAACAAUGUUAAGGGUAUAUUAGACAGGAAAGAAACUAGAAUCAGAGAAACCAAUAAAGAGGAAGCUGCUGCAAUAGUCCAGAAAUAAUACCUGUUGUGAUUAAGACAGAGGAAGAGGGGUUCAGGAGAAGAAGGAAGAUUCUGGAACUUGGUGAAGGUAGGAGCAGCAAGCCGAAGACAGAAUUUCUCCCAAGAAACUCUAACCUAAUUGUAGAGUGUUUCCUGUUGCUGAGAGAAGAGAUUGCAGAACGUGGUAAAGGAAGCUGAGGAAUGUUGCAAAAUCUUUAAAGGUGGCCUGAAGUAACCGAAGAAUCACAAAAGAAGUGAAAACGCCCUGCCCCGCCUUAACUGAUGACAUUCCACCACAGAAGAAGUGAAAAUGGCCAGUCGUUGCCUUAACUGAUGACACUGUCUUGUGAAAGUCCUUUUCCUGGCUCAUCCUGGCUCAAAAGCUCCCCUACUGAACACCUUGUGACCCCCACUCCUGCCCGCCAGAGAACAAUCCCCCUUUGACUGUAAUUUUCCUUUACCUACCCAAAUCUUAUAAAACGGCCCCACCCCUAUCUCCCUUCACUUACUCUCUUUUUGGACUCAGCCCACCUGCACCCAGGUGAUUAAAAAGCUUUAUUGUUCACACAAAGCCUGUUUAGUAGUCUCUUCACACGGACAUGCAAGAAAGUGGUCUCCACAGUGAGACAGGUAAAUCUCACAGUGUGGACAAGGUAAUCCAUUGAAAUACACAAAGAAAAACUAGCAACCACUACUUUUAUUUAUUCAUUACAUUACAAUUUUAAUUUUAUUCUUUAUGUAUAUUCUUUUGUUUUGGAUGUUUU